GGUAUUUUAUAUCAACGCUCUCCAUAACUGUUUAAAAAAGUUGCUAAUCAUGUUGACCUACGUGUUCCAUUUAUUAACCAAUGAAUGAUGUGUUUGUGUUAUAGCAGGCUUAUGCUGUGUGUUUUUAAUUUUCAGCUUUCGAGCGGGUGGAGGAGUUACCAGAAGUGCGAGCGAUAUAAAAGACAUGCUUCUUCACUGGUGUAAAAGCAAGACCAGAGAAUAUAAUAAUGUGGAAAUAACGAAUUUUUCAACCUCUUGGAAUGAUGGAAUGGCAUUUUGUGCUUUAAUUCACCAUUUCUAUCCAGAUGCAUUCGAGUUUGAGACAUUGAAUCCCAAAAACAGAAGAUAUAAUUUCGAUCUCGCAUUUAGAAUCGCCGAG